CUAGUAGGAUAGCAGCGAUAAAUAACUUGUAAUAUUGGUAUUAACCACCUGGAUGUCACCCUGAUACAUUAUACACUGCUCAAUCGGGAGAGUUUACGCUGCAACACAUGGGACACCGUGUCCUUCGCUCCUGCUUUCCGCAGGAGAGAAGUAGCUUUUUUUUAUUUGACAUAUUUUUAAUAUUUAACCUUUAUUUAACUAGGCGAGUCAGAUAAGAACAAAUUCCCAUUUACAAUGACGGCCAAAACCGGACGACGGGCCAAUUGUGUGGACUCCCAAUCACGGAUGGUUGUGAUACAGGCUGGAUUCGAACCAGGGUGUCUGUAGUGACGCCUCAAGCACUGAGAUGCUGCGCCACUCGGGAGCCCACUAGCUAGAUAGUAAAUAGAUACUAUCAGGCCAGGAUGACAUCUAAAGCACAUUUUUUUUGUAGUGAUUUUCACCGAAAAUAUAUUGGGGGGAAAAAACGAACAAUUCCUCUGAUUAAAACGGAAUGAUUCUCAACACACCCCCAAGUCACGACUUCGGCAGACAAAUUUCACAUUCUUGCUUAUAUUUCUAUUCGUAAUCAUAAACUAGCUUGCUAUCUGUCGAAGGGCUCAUCAGGACGACUGAACCGAAUGCGCUCUUCUCCACUCGACUCUCUGUGCAAAAACGCCCUCAAUUUGGACACCAGGCGUGUCCGUAUCGCCUCUCCGUUUUGAACCGCAACCCUGAACGUCUUACGUAUCGAGCAACCAGUGAUCUGGGUCAACAGCAUCAAUGUAACAGUAUAGACUUUACGUCCGUCCUCUCGCCCCGACCUUGGCGCGAACCAGGGACGCUCUGCACACGUCAACAGUCACCCUCGAAGCAUCGUUACCCAUCGCUCCACAAAAGCCACGGCUCUUGCAGAGCAAGGGGAACCACUACUUCAAGGUCUCAGACAGGUCAGCCACCAGGGGGAGACUUGUCAAGGCCUGGUGACAGACGGAGUAUACAUCACGAAGCGAUGGCUCCAUCUGCUGGACGUGCCAGGUCUCGAUGGGUUCUCCGGCCAGGACUACUAAUUGGGGCUGAUUGGGGAUUGGUGGGUAAUCAAGGGCUGACGGCUCACCAGCUGUACAACUCCAAUAAAGAGGGAAAGACUGGGGGAGGAAAGGACUCCCGUAUAGUUGGGGACGGUAACAGGAGGGAGUUCAGUUUUUGAUCCCCACAGGAUACAGCAAGACCUGGAGCCCAGAAGACGGUAUCCCGGAGAGGGUCUCUUGGGGGAGACCUAUUCUUUUCUUUUGGACUAUUUUAAUAAUUUAACAUUUUUGGACUAUUUUAAUAAACACCUUUGAAACUGAGCUAAUCCUACUCUGUCCAUGUCUGAUCUGUGUAAACGUUUUGACCCAACCCCCUGGUCUGCCAAAGUGGUGGAGAAUGCGGGCACUCUGAUAACGUGGUCAGAUCAGGGUUGACGUUUACGCAGCAUCAGCUUGGACAAGUUAAUAGCUCAGUUCAUCGGGGCCCAACAGGCGGUUCAGGAACGAAAACUGGAGGAACAGCGGCUAUAAAACUUCCGCCUCAUUGAGGAAAUCAGGAAACGACAAGGAGGAGCAUCUACUGAAUCACAUCCUAACAAGUUUUUAAUCAAGCUAACAGAAGAUGACGACAUCGAAACCUACCUCUGUACGUUUGAACAGACAGCAGUACGUGAAGGUUGGCCAAGGCAGAAGUGGGACAGUCUGCUGGCCCCGUUCCUCUCUGGGAAUGCCCAAAAGGCGUUUUGGGACCUGAACGAUGAACAGGCGGCUAAAUACAACGGACUCAACAGAAGAUACUCAGCCGCUAUGGGUACAGCCUGGCCCAUCGGGCUCAACUAUUCCACGACUGGAUGUUCGUAACCGACGCAUCCCCCCCCGAGCCCAGAUGAGCGACCUACUGCGGAUCACCAGAGGAUGGCUCCUAACCGACGUAUCCACCCUCUCCAUCCUAGAAAAAGUGGUCCUGGAUCUCUUCCUAUGGGCACUACCCCACGACAUGAAGAGAGCAGCGAGUCUAUGCGUGCCCCAGACCUUGGAGGGCCUCCUGGAAGCAGUGGAGACGCAUCAGAACACUCAGGCCCUAAUGAGUGGGAGCUGGGCCGAGUCAGUGACCCGUUCGAGGAGGCGGAAGGACAGCCCCACUGCUACCCCGAACCGACAGUCGGCAGGGCCAAAGGACCGCAAACCCGUGGAGAGACGGCUGGGGUAGAGCCGACCCAGCCACUGACCACCCCAGGUAGAUGGAGACCAAAGGAGAUGUUUUGAGUGUGGUGCCCGGGGGCACAUUGCCUGGGAUUGCCCGGCUUGAGAGGAGUCGAUGCCAUCAGCAAGCCCCGGGGGCGAGGUAUGUCAUGGAGUGAACUAAAUCACCUCCUGUUGGGCACACCAUGAAUCAACUGCACCCAUGGUCCCGGUGAAGGUUGAUGGACACGACACGGAAGCUCUAUUUGACACCAGAAGUAUGGUUAUGCUCAUAACCACGAGCCUUCUGAACCAGGAUACCGAAUGUGGUAGGGAGAAGUCCAUUUCCUGUGCUCACGGGGACACAAAGCGGUAUCCAACCGUAUGGGCCAACACCGUGACGCCACAAGGGAACUGCCAGAUGAUGGUGGGUACGGUACCAGAGUUGCCGGUACCUCUACUAGUGGGAUGAGAUUGUCCACUGUUUGCGGCCCUGUCGGGGCCCGAGCUGAGGAAGAAGGUACGAGCCGGCCGAAGAAGAGUACAACCCAUCGCCUGUGCGGCCCGGAAGCGAACGGUUGAUCAACCUGUAUCUACGGGUCCGGAAUAGGAGUCGGAGAGGGGGCCGGAACCCAACCCCCCUGGGGAACCAUGGGAGGAAGAGCCCAGCCUCCCCCUCCUCGAUUUCUAGGGGCCAUUCGAGACACACCCUGGGGGCCAACUGAGGGAACAAUUCGGGACGGCCCAGUGCGAGGAUCCUAAUCUGAAAGCCGCCACAGUCCAAGUGAUAGUGGUGGAUGGACAGCUACUUCCGGGAGUGAGUGACUGGCGAUACCCCCAUUUCCAAAUCAAGAAUAACCUUUUAUAUCAGGUGUCGCGCCAACAGGGGGAACUUUGAGAGGUAUUAUUGCUGCCCUGACGGGACGGAUCGCCUCCCAAGUUCCAUUGGCCCGGGAUGAGGAGGGCUGUGGAAGAUUACUGUCGCAGCUGCCCGGAGUGUCAAAUGACCUGUCCCAAAGGCACACUUCUGAAACCCACUGGUCCCCCUACCAAUCAUCGGGGUGCCCUUUGAACGCAUUGCCAUGGACAUAGUGGGACCCCUGGUAAAAACAGCACGAGGACACCAGUACAUCCUGGUAAUAGUGAACUAUGCCACCCGGUAUCCUGAGGCCAUACCCCUAUGGACGGCGAUAUCCAAGGGAAUUGCCUGGGGAGCUGUUCCAGCUCUUUAGCCGGGUGGGCAUCCCGAACGAGAUCCUGACAGACCAAGGUACUGAGUUUAUGUCCCACCUAAUGAAAGAUGUGUGCAGAUUAAGCAGAUCCGGACCUCCGUCUUCCACCCGCAGACGGAUUGGCUCGUCGAGCGGUUCAAUAAAACGCUCAAACAAAUGCUGCGGAAGGUCAUCGAGCAGGACGGGAAGAACUGGGACCAGCUACUACCCCACCUAAUAUUCUCAAUCUGAGAAGUACCCCAGUCCUCCACUGGGUUUUCCCAUUUUGUACUCCUCUAUCGGAGGAGGCCACGAGGCCUACUGGACCUCGCCAAGGAGGUGUGGGAAGCCCAACCGACCCUCUUACGCAGCGUGGUAGAGCACGUGGAGACGAUGAGGGACCGGAUGACAGCCAUAUGGCCAGUCGUAAGGGAACAUAUGGAGAAGGCCCAACAUGCCCAAGCCUAGGUCUACAAUUGGAGAGCCCAGCCCCGAGAAUUCCAGGUGGGAGACAGGGUGUUGGUCUUAAUCCCCACGGCCUAAAGUAAGUUCCUGGCAAAAGGCACGGGCCAUACGAGGUGACCGAGAAGCUGGGACCUGUCAAUUACCGCGCAUGGCAACCGGGGAGACGGAAACCAACAGAUUUACCAGGAUGGGGGUCGUUGAAGAGUCUCACAGUGCGUGGUGCAGCCCCAUCGUGUUGGUGCCCAAAUCAGACGGUAGCCUGCGCUUCUGUAAUGAUUUCACAGCCAAGGUUGGGAAGAGCACCUGACGCGCCUCCAGUUAGUGCUGGACGGGCUCAGACAAGCCGGAUUGACCGCAAACCCCAAGAAAUGCAAACUAGUGUUCGAGGAGGUGGAGGACCUGGGGUAUUUGAUCGGACGGGGGAACGUCAAACCCCAGGAGAGGAAGGUUCACGCGGUACGUUUCUGGCCCUUUCCACACACCAAGACACAGGUUAAGUCCUUCCUGGGACGGGCAGGAUACUAUAGCCGGUUUAUCCCCAACUUUGCGGCAAUAGCUUCCACCCUCACCGAUCUAACCAGGGCCCGCCUCCCGAAAAUAGUGAAAUGGACGGACGAGACAGAAGCGGCACUCAGCCGCCUGAAGGAAGCGCUGUGCUUCCAUCCGAUUCUCAUAGCGCCCGAUUUCCAGGUGCCGAUGUUGGUCCAGACGGAUGCAUGUGAUACGGGACUAAGGACCGUUCUGUCCCAGAUACACGAUGGGGAGGAGCACCCCAUCAUGUACAUCAGCCGAAAGCUGAUACCUAGAAAAAAAAGUACUCUAUUGUUGAGAAAGAGUGUUCAGCGUUGAAGUGGGAGCUAGACACACAAGUUUUACCUGUUCGGUACCCACUUCACCCUGGUCAUGGACCAUGCUCCCCUGGCCCGGAUGGCCAGAAGAAAGGACACAAAUGAUCGGGUCACCAGGUGGUUCUUGUCCCUUCAACACAUCUCUUUUUCUGUUGUGCACAGGUCAGGGGUGCCCUAUUGAGAAGGGAGACAUACGUUGCACUGAUGACGGUCCCCUCCCCGACAGAGCUAAGGGGAGGGGGGUGGCGUACAGCAGGUCAGCCACCAGGGGGGGACUCGUCGAGGCCUGGUGACAGACGGAGUAUAUAUCACGAGGCGAUGGCUCCAUCUGCUGGACCUGCCAGGUCUCGACGGGCUCUCCGGCCAGGACUAAUUUGGGCUGAUUGGGAAUUGGUGAUUAAUCAAGGGCUGAUUUGCUCACCAGCUGUACAACUCCCAUAAAGCUGCCAGAAGGGCAACACACAAGGGAGAGACUCUGGGAGAAAAUGACUCCCGUAUAGUUGGGGUCGGUACCAGAGGUAACAGGAGGGAGUUCAGUUUUUGAUCCCCACAGGAUACAGCAAUACCCGGGGCCCAGAAGACUGUAUCCUGGAGAGGGUCUCUUUUUUUCUUCUUUUGGACUAUUAUUUUAAUAAACACCUUUGAAACUGAGCUAAUCCUACUCUGUCCGUGUCUGAUCUGUGUAAACAUUUUGACCCAACCCCCUGGUAUGCUA